UUAUUGUUUCCAUGAAUGGCCGUCUGACUGCUGUUACGUUCAGGUGAAUUCGAUGAGGACCUCCCCCACAUUCACCGAAGAGGUGGAUUUGCAGGGAAGCAACGUGGAAGGGGUACUCGGAGGGUUAUGUGAAGGUGAACGGGCCACCGUGCCUGUUUCUAUUUUGUUUUUUCUUGUUGUUUUUCGUCUGCCGCCGCUAGGACGGCGGCAUUUCGCAGGUAUUGGGUGGCCCGACAGGGGUGGUCACCGUGCAGGUUCCCUUCUUCCCUGAAGUUAUUCGUUUUUCAUUUAUAAUGAUCCUUCCGCAGGUUCACCUACGGAAA
rnacentral:misc_RNA from 1 species